GGGGACUUCAGGUUUGCCGGAAGAAAUUCAACCGACCUCAGAUAUGGGAAGAUGUGCAUCACCUCAGUGGGGCUUUCAUAGUUAACAUUGGAGAUAUGAUGGAGAGGUGGACAAACUGCUUAUUUCGGUCUACAUUGCAUCGAGUUAUGCCAACAGGGCAAGAGCGUUAUUCGAUGGCUUUCUUUUUGGAUCCAAAUCCAGAUUGUAUGGUGGAA
rnacentral:misc_RNA from 1 species